rnacentral:miRNA from 1 species
GUACUCCCUCCGUUUCACAAUGUAAGUCAUUCUAGCAUUUCCCACAUUCAUAUUGAUGUUAAUGAAUCUAGACAUAUAUAUCUAUCUAGAUUCAUUAACAACAAUAUGAAUGUGGGAAAUGUUAGAAUGACUUACAUUAUGAAACGGAGGAAGUAGUAAA